GACCAGUGGAGUUACGGAAUCGCCGAAGCCUAAUUGGCUGCAAAUCGCCCUGAAGUACGCGCCCAAAUCUUCACCAUUCAUAAACGGAAUUCCGCUGAUUAUCAACUCAUUACGGUUCUCAAGAUUGUCGACAGCCGAAGAGAUCCUGUCAACCCGCUCAUUCAGCACGUUCAGAGCCACAUCGUUGUCAUUGAAUUUCGAAGCAUGCUCCGUCCUGAGCGUAUGAAUUUCCUGUGAUACAGCAUCCAGCCUACCGUUCAUCUCGCACUUCAUGGAAUCAAUUUUGUUAUGCAAGUCAUUACGCAGCACAUCAAACAUGCCUUUGAUUUCGGUGAACUGAUUCAUAAGAAGUUGUACAGCAGAAUCCAACGACAGAGCACUUCCACUCACUUCAUCAUCCACUCGUGAUCGUUUGGAUACGGUUGUUUGGGUUGUUUUGAUAAGCCCAGACCUAGGGGGGGUUCUCGCUAAACUUGACAUUACGAUAAGAAACGACAGAGUGCAAGUUAUCCGUGUAUAGGUGUUGAGAGCGAAAACAAUCGUUUUAUAGCGUUGAGACGUGUUACAAUAAACCGACGAUAUAAUGGAUGGUCCAGACUAAAACUUUCGAUCUCAAAAUCUACCGAUCAACGACAAGAUCACUUCGGAUAACACGUACAGCGUAGCGGUGGAUGGUCAAAUUCACGAUAUCGAUAGUUCCAUCGAUGAAGAUGAGGGAUAAACUCCAAUUACGAAGCUUGUUUUUACGCUCCACAAACGACGCACUCCAGUCUCAUCAUCACUUUAUAGCACGAACUUAUUUACAUAGAUGGUAUCCGAACAACACUAAACACCCAGAUUCCUAUAUUUUCGAGCGGUUAUAAGCACAGUGUCGACCGAGUGACGAAAAGUGCUACAAAAGUGCCGGAAUUUUACCCCGCUUUGCCACCCGCAGGCAGCACUGCCCUAAGCUUCUGCUAUAAUCACAAUAAAACUACACGAAUUGAGCGAUUCGCCAUCACAGCAGCCUAUUUUCUCACACUGGACUGUCACUCAUAUAAAUAAAAGCGAGAGAAGUGAACGGAGUAAACAAUUUUCUUGAGCAAUUGACACUGAUGUGAGGGAUGCGAAACAAUGGACAGACUUUAAGGAUAACAGUACCAACGACUGCUGCAAUGUACUAUCCACGCACUAGGAGGGAAGUUCCAGUUAUGUGUGUUGAAAACCGGCGAUUAAACAGUAUGUCGCAGUUGUGGAAGAACGUCUGAUACCAUGCAUUCAAGGGUCCAUCGCAACAGUUACCGAUCCUCAAAUUGGCACCUCCUUCAUCGGCAGCUGGUAUUGGACCCGUAUUUACAUUUAACGAUUGCAUCGAACACAUCAAUCGGUGAUGCUAUCAACAUCCCAGAAUUUAGCUGGAUAGGGUUGUUCAGUUAAAAUGUUAUUCGUCCACAUCAGCGAAAUGCUGCAUAACAUUGCGUCAUCUGAAAUGAAGCUGUACUCUAGCCGUACCUGAUAGUUCUACAGCAUAUACGCCAUUUUGUCAGUGUUAGUAAUCUGCAUUGUAAAUAAAUGAAAUAAUUUCUAGCGACGGUGUUUUUUAAUGUUUAUUUCAACUUUUAUGAGAACAAAUGAUGCUAUAAACAGAGCCGAGCAGUUUUUCAAUCGGUCGACGCGGUGCCAGAUUGGCACAGUGUUGGCUCGUAAAUGGUAAUCGAAUACGAACUGUAGGUCGACAUAAUCAUUGCAAAAUGGCACGACAUCGGCACCGUUGUCGACACCAUUUUUUGGAACCGAUUUGACACAACAAAGUAG